AAGUUGUUUUUCAUCCCAAACAAUUGCACUCACGACCGAACGAUCAAUAUCAUCCACUCACUCUUUAGCUUAGAGAUAAGCACCGCGGAGUCACCUGCUAUCUCAACCAACCGAAAACCCAAAUCUCAGGCAAAUUUGAUAGCUCGCACAUAAGCUAAGGCUUUCGCAGAUAAUGGACAAGCCCGCAAAUGGUCGAAGAAACCCGCAUCAAAGUUGACACGGACCCAUGGAUCAAUAGGGGCCUUCUAGAGCACUUGUCUCCCAUUAUGAGCAAAUAACUAACCAAUCCAUUGAAUGGGUGUAUCCUUAGGCUAACCUGUGCCAAACCUCCAGUACACCGGAGCAAUCUCGACAGACAUCAUGAAUUGUCUUUGGGCCAUUACCAUAGCGUGGACACAUCUGAUCUGCCCCAAUUCUGCACUGAUACAAAUUAGCCUUUGUAGGAAGUUAAUUCUUAAUCUACUGCUAGCAUGUAAUUAUUAAAUUUGUUUUUAAUUUUAAAAUUGUUAACAUCAUUAAAAUUUUUAUUAAAUUUUUAUUCAUUACAA